UUUUUUUUUCUUUCUUUCUUUUUGGUCAGAGACCUGGUUUUGUUGGGAUGUCCACCCUAUGCAGUCAUAACUCCAUAAGUAGGUCUCAAACAGUAAUGGUGAUUCCACCCUCUUGCUUAGAGAUCAGUUUCAAAGUGGCCAAUUCAGUGUGUGGGGCAUUUUUGGAAAGACUUCUUUAUUGAAAAAAAGGUGAAACAGAGACAACAUGGUUCCUUCUCUUUUUCUGGGUGAAAUGGUUUCCGGAUGGCAUGCCUGGAACUGCAGCAUCUAUCUUAGAAACACGAGUAGGACUAGUUUUAGGAUGAAGCCAAGGGGCAAUUGACAGAGCAGAAAGGACCUGGGUUCCAUGUCACUGAGUCAUUGAUAACGGAACAUUGGAAUUUUCCUUUAUUGGAAUGUAAAAUAGCAAAUUUCCCGAAUAUGAAUUAAGCUAAUUUGAACAGGGGUUUUUGUUUUGUUUGUUUGUUUGUUUUUGCUUCUGACAUAGUCCUAUUCCGUGGUGGAGAGGAUUACACAGGAAUCAAGAGCCAUAAAUGUCAGAGCUGCAUCCCCACGUGGGGGGGCCAGCUCUAGGCAAGCCCAGGAGAGUAGAAAGGGGGGUGUCUAACCAUGGCUGUGAGACAGACCACACAAGGUCCAAAUGGUGAGAUGGAACCUGUUGUCAUUAUGUCCCGCAGGUCAGCACAGGAUCCAGUACUGGGUCCAGAAGGAAACCCAUCAUUCCCUGGCCUGAUAUUUUCCUUCUUUUUUAAAAAUUGAAGUACCGUUGAGUCAUAACGUUUCAGGUGUACAGCAAGGUGAUUCAGUUACACACACAUAUGUGUACAUAUAUAUAUUCUUUCCCAGAUUCUUUUCCAUUUUUGUUUAUUGUAAGAUGUUAAAUAUAGCUCCCUGUGCUAUUCAGUAGGUCAUUGUUGUUUAUCUAUUUUAUAUGUAGUCAAUUGUGUCUAUUAAGCCCAAACUCCUAAUUUUUCCCUCCCCCACCUUUCCCCUUUGGUAACCAUAGUUUGUUUUCUGUCUGCAAGUUUAUUUCUAUUUUGAAAAUAAGUUCCUUUGUAUCAUUUUUUUAAGAUUCAACAUAGAAGUGAUACCAUGAUACUUGUCUUUCUCUCUCUGACUUACUUCACUUAGUAUGAUCAUGUCUAGGUCCAUCCAUGUUGCAACAAAUGGCCGGAUAAUCUCAUGUGGAGGAAUUUCAGCUAAAAAUACUCCUGACCUCUCAUAUCUUUUACCUUCUCUCUCUCUCUCUUUUUUUUUGGCAAUAAGUUUGGAGAAAAUCUGAACAUCUGCCACUCAGCUCUUCCCUCUGUCCCUCUUUCAGACCCUGCACCAAGGGUCCAUUCUGGCCUUCUAUCCACACAGUGGCAAGUGGGGGAAGCCUGAAGGUUUUGGGGGGAGGGCUGCAAGUUCAUUUCAGAGGGUGGUAUUAGAAAGCUCUCUGUGUAAAUGAAAUAUACUCUAAUAAAAAUAACAAAAUUUUUUAAAAAGGAAGCUCUCUGUUGCCACACAUUUAAACCAUAUUCAGCUUUUCCUCAUAAUAAAGUUGAUAUCUUGAUGUCCAUCUUUCUGACCCCUGAAUAUAUUUCAUCUUUAGUUCUGAACUCAGGAGGGAAGGUGAAAGGCAUUAUUCCUUGGAUCCCUAAACCUUAACCCAAACCACCAAAUCAAAAUUAUUAAGAAUUUAAUUUAAAACAAAAUGUCAUUGCAUUACACUUACUAGUCUACUGCUCCUAUAUUUCCUAUAGGAUAUGGGGGACAGGGGAUUUUUAAUACGUCUGAUGUGAUCUGGAGUAUGGUUUCCAAAAUUAAAAGGUCCCACAAAGAUCUUUAAAGAGCCUUAAAAGAGAUCUGGUAAAGCCUCGGACUCUGACAGUCAAGAGAUGCCAGCAGGCAGCAGGUGGCACAGUUGAGAGGUAUGGAUGAAAUAAGUUCUAAAAUGAUUUGACCUUAUUUGGAUGAUGGCAAACUAGGCUGUGUUUGCUGCUAAGAAAGUAUUCCUGGUUUCCGCCGAAUGGUGUUGAGUCAGCUGAGUCUAAAGGUACAGAAAAAAAACAACAACAACACAGUAUCAGUAGUGGUUAUAGCAGCAGUACUAGUACUAGUAAUAGCUAAGAUACAUGGAAUAUAUAUAGUUUUAUUAUAUUUUUAAUUCCAUUAUUUUACUCAGCCUUCACCACAACCUUAUGGACUAAGCAUUAUAUUAGUUUUAUUUUACAUUUGAGGAAAUUGAGACUUGGAGAGACUGAGGGGUUUGUGCAAGGUCACACAGCUAGCAAGUGCCACACAUAGUCUUUUUUAAAUUUGUCUUUGGGACUCCACUCUUAAUACUAACUCCAUAUUGUGAUCAGACUGUUCAUAACCAUUCCCAUUCUUGAUCAAUUUUCUGGGGAAAUAAUUCAAUGAAAGCCAAAGCUACAUGCAUAAAACUUCCAUUAAGAUAUUUUAUGUGCUUGUGCCAGAGGAAGCACCAUGUACAUCAGCAGGGAACUAUUUUAAUAAAUUAUGCUUCAUCCAAUCCAUGAAAGGCUAGACAUAAAUUUAAAAUAGUAAUUCUGGGGAGUUCCCGUGAUGGCACAGCAGAAACGAAUCCGACUAGGAACCAUGAGAUUGCAGGUUUGAUCCCUGGCCUCACUCAGUGGGUUAAGGAUCCAGCGUUGCUGCGAGCUGUAGUGUAGGUCGCAGACGCGGCUCGGAUCUAGCGUUGCUGUGGCUGUGGUGUAGGCCAGCAGCAACAGCUCUGAUUCGACUCCUAGCCUGGGAACCUCCAUAUGCCAUGGGUGCGGCCCUGAAAAAAAAGACACACACAAAAAAAUAGAAAAAAAAAAAACAACUCUGAUAACAUGGGAUCAAAACUAGAAAAGAAAUAUGCAAAAACAAAAAUAACUUUUAAUAACAAGUGGGCUUUAGGUGAAUCUUUUGCUCUUUUACCAAAAUUAUUUUCAGUGUUGUGGAGGUACUACCUUGCCAAUAAAAGCAGAACAGACCUGCAUGGGGCGCUGCAGACAGAACUAGGUGUCUGUGAUUCAGUGAGUGCCAUGGUGGGGAGAAGGGGGCCUGGGCAUGUUUGAGAGAGCUUGAAGCGACUGAGCCUCCAUCCGAACUGCAAGCGUUAGCCUGAUCCCAGAUCUCCUUCUAACUCAAGGCAAACACUGAAAUCCUGAGCACAGGUUUCUAAUAAGCGUCCUAUAGGGAAGGGAAAGUCUUGGCUCCGCCCCGAGUGGGAGAAUCCCGAUGCUCCACCAAGUGAGGAGGUGUUGGGAACUUGCCCCAGGGUGCUGGUGACGUCAUGGAGUCGUGGGUGAAGAUGUGCAAGGGGCAGGACAGGAGAGGUGAGGGCGUCUACACCGUGAACCUUUCUAGAGGAAAUGAGAUGCAAAUGAGGAAAGGGCAGGAGAGAGAUAAACAAAUGCUGAGGUGUUAGGUGGGAAGAGACUGUCUCAGAUGGUUAAGACAGAAAAAGGCAGUCUAGUCAGCCGGUUUCCUCAAUCCACAGAGACCCUCUUUGCAGUGGAAUGAACAAGGGCUUUGACAAGAGACUAGAGUCCAUUACUGGCUCCACUGCUGUGUGACAAUGAACAAGCCACUUAACCUCUCUGAUGCUCAGUUUGUUUUGUUUUGUUUUGUCUUUUUGCCAUCUCUUGGGCCGCUUCUGCGGCAUAUGGAGGUCCCCAGGCUAGGGGCCGAAUCAGAGCUGUAGCCACCAGCUUACGCCAGAACCACAGCAACACGGGCAGAGCCACGUCUGUGACCUACACCACAGCUCAUGGUAACGCCGGAUCCUUAACCCACUGAGCAAGGGCAGGGAUCGAACCCGCAACCUCAUGGUUCCUUGUCGGAUUCGUUAACCACUGUGCCACGACGGGAAUUCCUGAUGCUCAGAUUUUUGAAGUGGCAAUAGCCAUUCCUUCGGCAUAGAAUUCAGUGUGACAUCCCGAGGCCACUCUUCUCCCACUGCCUACCCUGUAACAUAAAUGGUAUUUUCUUUGGCACUCCAAAGACCAAUACUUUCUUCGGUACUUCAAAGAAUGGUAUUUCUUUGGUACUCCGUCGCUUUCCCCAGGGAGAUGGGGCUGCAGAGCAUUUCCUGGACCCUCCAUCUCCAUCCCAUGAAAGAAUUCCCUGUCACUCUGCUUUUCUUCCCAAGCGGAGGACCAGAAAAGCCUGCCCCCUCUCCCUGAGGGAAGAGAGAGGUGUACAACAGGGCUGGUCUGAGUCUGCACCCCAGAGCCAUCCUCUGCCCUGAAGGUGAAUUUCCAGAUCGCGUGUGAUGAGAAUGGAAACACAUGAAAGACCUCAAUCAGGCUGCCGGGGGCUGAUACUCUGUGGGUGGGGA
rnacentral:lncRNA from 1 species